UCCGAGUUGACCCCGGCAGUCUCCUAUGAGUCCCCGGCAUAACCCGCUGGCAACAUAGAACGAGGGUUGCGCUCGUUGCGGGACUUAACCCAACAUCUCACGACACGAGCUGACGACAACCAUGCACCACCUGUACAGGACCCUUACGGACCCCCCAUCUCUGGAGGAUUUCCCUGUAUGUCAAGCCUUGGUAAGGUUCUUCGCGUUGCGUCGAAUUAAGCCGCAUGCUCCGCCGCUUGUGCGGGCCCCCGUCAAUUCCUUUGAGUUUUAGCCUUGCGGCCGUACUCCCCAGGCGGGGCGCUUAAUGCGUUAGCUGCGGCACGGAGAUCGUGGAAAGACCCCCACACCUAGCGCCCAACGUUUACGGCGUGGACUAC
rnacentral:misc_RNA from 1 species